rnacentral:rRNA from 1 species
UACGUAGGUGGCGAACGUUGUCCGGAUUCACUGGGCGUAAAGCGCGCGCAGGCGGAUUGGUCAGUCCGAGGUUAAAGCUCCCGGCUCAACUGGGAGAGGCCCUUGGAUACUGCCAGUCUUGAGGUACCUAGGGGAGAGUGGAAUUCCCGGUGUAGUGGUGGAAUGCGUAGAUAUCGGGAGGAACACCAGUGGCGAAGGCGACUCUCUGGGGGUGACCUGACGCUGAGGCGCGAAAGCAUGGGGAGCAAACCGG